rnacentral:rRNA from 1 species
GAUGAACGCUGGCGGCGUGCCUAAUACAUGCAAGUCGAGCGAAUGGAUUAAGAGCUUGCUCUUAUGAAGUUAGCGGCGGACGGGUGAGUAACACGUGGGUAACCUGCCCAUAAGACUGGGAUAACUCCGGGAAACCGGGGCUAAUACCGGAUAACAUUUUGAACCGCAUGAUUCGAAAUCGAAAGGCGGCUUCGGCUGUCACUUAUGGAUGGACCCGCGUCGCAUUAGCUAGUUGGUGAGGUAACGGCUCACCAAGGCAACGAUGCGUAGCCGACCUGAGAGGGUGAUCGGCCACACUGGGACUGGGACACGGCCCAGACUCCUACGGGAGGCAGCAGUAGGGAAUCUUCCGCAAUGGACGAAAGUCUGACGGAGCAACGCCGCGUGAGUGAUGAAGGCUUUCGGGUCGUAAAACUCUGUUGUUAGGGAAGAACAAGUGCUAGUUGAAUAAGCUGGCACCUUGACGGUACCUAACCAGAAAGCCACGGCUAACUACGUGCCAGCCGCCGCAGUAA